rnacentral:rRNA from 1 species
GAUGAACGCUGGCGGCAUGCCUAAUACAUGCAAGUCGAACGAGAGGAAGGAAAGCUUGCUUUUCUGAAUCUAGUGGCGAACGGGUGAGUAACACGUAGGUAACCUGCCCAUGUGCCCGGGAUAACUUCUGGAAACGGAUGCUAAAACCGGAUAGGUAGCAGACAAGCAUUUGACUGCUAUUAAAGUGGCUAAGGCCAUGAACAUGGAUGGACCUGCGGUGCAUUAGCUAGUUGGUGAGGUAACGGCCCACCAAGGCGACGAUGCAUAGCCGGCCUGAGAGGGCGGACGGCCACAUUGGGACUGAGACACGGCCCAAACUCCUACGGGAGGCAGCAGUAGGGAAUUUUCGUCAAUGGGGGGAACCCUGAACGAGCAAUGCCGCGUGAGUGAGGAAGGUCUUCGGAUCGUAAAGCUCUGUUGUAAGAGAAAAACGACAUUCAUAGGGAAUGAUGAGUGAGUGAUGGUAUCUUACCAGAAAGUCACGGCUAACUACGUGCCAGCAGCCGCGGUAAUACGUAGGUGGCGAGCGUUAUCCGGAAUGAUUGGGCGUAAAGGGUGCGUAGGUGGCAGAACAAGUCUGGAGUAAAAGGUAUGGGCUCAACCCGUACUGGCUCUGGAAACUGUUCAGCUAGAGAACAGAAGAGGACGGCGGAACUCCAUGUGUAGCGGUAAAAUGCGUAGAUAUAUGGAAGAACACCGGUGGCGAAGGCGGCCGUCUGGUCUGUUGCUGACACUGAAGCACGAAAGCGUGC